rnacentral:lncRNA from 1 species
CUCAUUUCUCUUCUUCUUUACUCUAUACGUUGGUGUUAUAACCAAUAAUCACCAAAGCGAUGUUCUGUCCGAUUGAUUCAGGAACCAACGAACGAAUACCAAAGUGUUGUACUUUGUGAAUUUCGGUAAACGGAAUCCAAAGUACUAUACUUUUGUUAUACUUUGUGAAAUUCGUUAAGGUUCGAAUCUCGUGAUCAUCGUUAGGUUUGAUUUGGGUUUUACACAAAUACGUAUUCCAUUCUGUUAAACUAUAUGUUUAACCAUCAGAAUACUCCCAACUAUACGCUUACAAUCAAAAUGGAUGCUUAAUCAUCAGAAGAUCCAAACUAAUAAAGUAUAUGCUUAAUUAUCAGAAGGAGUAGAAUCAAGAAGCUUGUUAAAUCAAUACUGCAUGCUUAUACUGUGAGUCAUUCUCUU